UGGGGUGAUGCCAGUGCUGAGUAUGUCAUGGAGUCUAUUGGUGUCUUCACCACCAUGGAGAAGACCAGGAACCCCUUGAAGGAUGGAGCCAAAAGGGUCAUCAUCUCCACCCCUUCUGCCAAUGUCCCCAUGUUUGUGAUGGGGUGAACCAGGAGAAAUAUAACAAUUUACUCAAGAUUGUGAGCAAUGCAUCCUGCACCACCAACUGCUUAGUCCACCUGGCCAAGGUCAUCCAUGACAACUUUGGCAUUGUGGGAGGGCUCAUGACCAUGGUCCAUGCCAUCACUGCCACUCAGAAGACUGUUGAUGGCCCCUCAAAGCUGUGGUGUGAUGGCCAUGGGGCUGCUCAGAACAUCAUCCCUGCAUCCACUGGUGCUGCCAAGGCUGUGGGCAAGGUCAUCCCAGAGCUGAACAGGAAGCUCACUGGCAUGGCCCCAGUGUUCCUAGUCCCAGUGUAUCUGUUGUGGAUCAGACAUGCCACCUGGAGAAACCUACCAAGUAUGAAGAUAUCAAGAAGGUGGUGAAGCAGGCAUCUGAGGGCCCACUGAAAAGCAUCCUGGUCUACACUGAGGGCCAGGUUGUCUCCUGAGACUUCAACAGCAACUCCCACUCUUCCACCUUUGAUGCUGGGGCUAGCAUUGCUCUCAAUGACAACUUUGUGAAGCUCAUUUCCUGGUAUGACAAUGAAUACUGCUACAGCAACAGGGUGGUGAACCUCAUGGCCUACAUGGCCUCCAAGGAGUAA
rnacentral:lncRNA from 1 species